rnacentral:rRNA from 1 species
GCUGAACGCUGGCGGCGUGCCUAAUACAUGCAAGUCGAGCGGCCAGACGAGGAGAUUGCUCCUCUGCCGGUAGCGGCGGGCGGGCGGGUAAGAAGUGGAUAACCAUCUAAUAAUUCGGGGAUAACUACGGGAAAACGGAGCUAAUACUGGCUCAUAUAUCGAACGGCAUGGAUCAAUGGAGCAUGAGGGCUUUGGCGUCACAAUUAGACGGGGCCGCAUUAGCUAGUUGGCGGGGUAAGGUCAUACCAAGCCAACGAUACGUAGCUGGCCUGAGAGGAUGAUCAGCCACACUGGAACUGAGACACGGUCCAGACUCCUACGGGAGGCAGCAGUAGGGAAUCUUGCACAAUGGGCGAAAGCUUGACGCAGCAACGCCGCGUGGGUGAAGAAGGCCUUCGGAUUGUAAAGCUCUGUUAUUGGGAAAGAACAGAUGUAUGAGAAUCUAUGCACGUCUUGACGGUACCUAAUCAGAAAGCAACGGCUAACUUCGUG